CUUUGCAAUCAAGAAAUAUUAUGGAAGGUCCAGGUGACCGAGGAAGGGCCAGAGAUGAAGGAGGAGAGCCCAAGUAUCGGGGCGUCAGGAAGCGUCCGUGGGGGAAAUAUGCGGCAGAAAUCCGGGAUUCUGCGAAUCAUGGAGCCCGGGUUUGGCUUGGAACAUUCAACACCGCGGUGGAGGCGGCUAAAGCGUACGACAGAGCUGCUUAUGCAAUGAGGGGACAUUUGGCUAUUCUCAACUUUCCUGAGGAUUAUAAUUUGCCCAGCAGCUCAUCCCAUUUUGCUUCUGCCUCCUCAUCGUCUACUGCUGCUUCUACUUCUUCAUCAGCAAGGGAGGGAGUUAUUGAAAUCCCGUAUUAUGAUGAUAAGCUGUUGGAGGAGCUGCUUGGUGCUGAGGAAAAAAGCGGAAGACAAGAUUGAAUCAUUUAACUGAAGGAAGGAAAUCAAGUGGCCAAAGCUUCAGGUGCAGGAUAUACUAUUUCGGUGCAAAUUAACUCCAGGCGAUGAAGUGGAUAAAGCUUCUAGGCAGUGCUAUUUUGGUGCUUUGGUGGUUUUAGUGGUUGACUUGUGUUGACUUCCAGCUAUAUUUGUUUUACUCUUUGAUGUGGAGAUAUCAGGGAAAAAAAAUCCAUGCUUCUAUGAAGAUAGACGGUAAUUGCUAGUGGAGAUUCAAACCUGAAUGACACUUUGCAAUAUGCACUGCCCAGGAAGGCCAUAGUAAUUUCAUGUGUAUCUUUUUCCACUUUAUUAGAUGUCUCUAUUGGAAUUUUAUGUAUGAGCAUUACUUUUAUGUGCUUUUAUGCAUUGUAAUA